GAUGAACGCUGGCGGCGUGCCUAAUACAUGCAGGUCGAGCGAACAGACGAGGAGCUUGCUCCUCUGACGUUAGCGGCGGACGGGUGAGUAACACGUGGAUAACCUACCUAUAAGACUGGGAUAACUUCGGGAAACCGGAGCUAAUACCGGAUAAUAUAUUGAACCGCAUGGUUCAAUAGUGAAAGACGGUUUUGCUGUCACUUAUAGAUGGAUCCGCGCCGCAUUAGCUAGUUGGUAAGGUAGCGGCUUACCAAGGCAACGAUGCGUAGCCGACCUGAGAGGGUGAUCGGCCACACUGGAACUGAGACACGGUCCAGACUCCUACGGGAGGCAGCAGUAGGGAAUCUUCCGCAAUGGGCGAAAGCCUGACGGAGCAACGCCGCGUGAGUGAUGAAGGUCUUCGGAUCGUAAAACUCUGUUAUUAGGGAAGAACAAAUGUGUAAGUAACUAUGCACGUCUUGACGGUACCUAAUCAGAAAGCCACGGCUAACUACGUG
rnacentral:rRNA from 1 species